UUAACUCAAAUUUGUAUGGAGUUGGAACGUUUUGCCUACGUUUGCCGCUAGGGGCGCUGUUUCGACUGCAUACCAAUUCGAGUUA
rnacentral:pre_miRNA from 1 species